AUUUAGGAGUUUUUUUUUUUUUUUUUUUUUUUUUUUUUUAUAUAUAUUUAAGUUUAUUUUUAGUUUAUUAUUUAAAUAAUUUUAAAGUUUAAACUGUUAAGGUUAUUUAUUUUUAUAUAGGUUUAAGUUUUUUGUACCUUUUGUAUCAGGGUAUUUUAAUUAUUUAAUUUAUUUUUUUAUCCCGAAUUUAAUAUAUUUAUGUUUUUAUUUUUUAUUUGUUUUAUAAAAUUUAAUAAUUUAAUCAUAGUAGUUAUAUGCUAUUCGUUAUUUUUUAUAUCUGGUUUUUCAGGAUUAAAUUUAAUUUUGGUUAUUAUUUGUUUAUUUAUUAAUAUUUUUUGUAACUUAUAUUAUAAGGGAUAAUCUUUAUAUUUUUUUAUAAUUUUUAAUUUUUAAUUUUUAUUAUUAAUAGUAUUACUAUAUUUAGUUUUUAAUAAAUUUGAUUUUUUUAUUAUGAUUUUUUUUAAUUUAUUAUUCUAUUGAAUUUAUUUAUUAACUUUUUUUUUAUUUUUAAUAAUGAUUUAAUUAGUAAUUUUUAUUUUUUAAGGAUAAUGAAUUCGACAAAUAUGAUUCUUAAUUGUUUAUCAAAAACAUUUCUUUUAGCUGAUAUUGAAGGUAAUUUCUGCUCUAUGAAUAUUUUAAAUGGCCGCGGUAUAUUGACCGUGCAAAGGUAGCAUAAUAAUUAGUUUAUUAAUUGUAAACUUGUAUGAAUGGAUGUAUAAGGAAUUUUUUUUAUUUUUUUAAUUUUUUGAAUUUUACUUUUAAGUUAAAAGGCUUAAUUUUUUUAUUGGGACGAUAAGACCCUAUAGAACUUAAUUUUUAAUUAAAAUUUAUGUUUUUUUGUUUUUUUAAAUUUUUUAAUUUUUUAAUUGGGGUGAUUAAUAAAUUUAAACUUUAUUUAUUUAUUUCAUUGUUUUAGUGUUUUUUUGUUCCUUUUUCUUGGGUUAAAAGAUAAAGUUACCUUAGGGAUAACAGCGUAAUUUUAGUGGGGAGUUCUUAUUUAUACUAAAGUUUUCGACCUCGAUGUUGAAUUAAGAUAACUUUGAGGGGUAGUUUUUUCUUUAGUAAGUCUGUUCGACUUUUAAAUUCUUACAUGAUUUGAGUUCAAACCGGUGUGAGCCAGGUUGGUUUCUAUCUAAUAAUUUUUUCAUUCUUUAGUACGAAAGGACCUAGAAUGUUUAGUUUUUAAUUUAUGUUAUGUUUUAUAUUAAUUUU
rnacentral:rRNA from 1 species